GGGGGUGUUAUAGAUUCGAUUGUGCGAGUGAGUUAAAGUGCAAGCAUACCGAAGGCUCGGCUUCGUAAAAACGAGACUUUAAAUUUAAAUGCUAACAAUCAGAAAUUAGCAUACGCAGCGUAGUCGCGCGUACGUUCUUCCGCACUUUUCCCGUCGGGAGCGGUAAGAGCGUCAUUAAGGCGGGGAACGGCUUUAAUCGUUUUGGCAGCGGCGUUGAAGCGGAAUUCAGUUGUUAUGGAAAGAUCAAAGCCCGCCGAUGGGCGUGAUCUUUCCGAGAUCAAACGUCGGAUAAGUAUGUAGAAAACUUUAACGAAGCGUGCAAGACCGGAGUGCAAGUCUCCGCAUCUCCACCA
rnacentral:tmRNA from 1 species